rnacentral:rRNA from 1 species
GGGCGGUCUACCAUGCAGUCGAACGAUGAACCACUUCGGUGGGGAUUAGUGGCGAACGGGUGAGUAACACGUGGGCAAUCUGCCCUGCACUCUGGGACAAGCCCUGGAAACGGGGUCUAAUACCGGAUAUUGACCUUCACGGGCAUCUGUGAGGUUCGAAAGCUCCGGCGGUGCAGGAUGAGCCCGCGGCCUAUCAGCUUGUUGGUGAGGUAAUGGCUCACCAAGGCGACGACGGGUAGCCGGCCUGAGAGGGCGACCGGCCACACUGGGACUGAGACACGGCCCAGACUCCUACGGGAGGCAGCAGUGGGGAAUAUUGCACAAUGGGCGAAAGCCUGAUGCAGCGACGCCGCGUGAGGGAUGACGGCCUUCGGGUUGUAAACCUCUUUCAGCAGGGAAGAAGCGAAAGUGACGGUACCUGCAGAAGAAGCGCCGGCUAACUACGUGCCAGCAGCCGCGGUAAUACGUAGGGCGCAAGCGUUGUCCGGAAUUAUUGGGCGUAAAGAGCUCGUAGGCGGCUUGUCACGUCGGUUGUGAAAGCCCGGGGCUUAACCCCGGGUCUGCAGUCGAUACGGGCAGGCUAGAGUUCGGUAGGGGAGAUCGGAAUUCCUGGUGUAGCGGUGAAAUGCGCAGAUAUCAGGAGGAACACCGGUGGCGAAGGCGGAUCUCUGGGCCGAUACUGACGCUGAGGAGCGAAAGCGUGGGGAGCGAACAGGAUUAGAUACCCUGGUAGUCCACGCCGUAAACGGUGGGCACUAGGUGUGGGCAACAUUCCACGUUGUCCGUGCCGCAGCUAACGCAUUAAGUGCCCCGCCUGGGGAGUACGGCCGCAAGGCUAAAACUCAAAGGAAUUGACGGGGGCCCGCACAAGCGGCGGAGCAUGUGGCUUAAUUCGACGCAACGCGAAGAACCUUACCAAGGCUUGACAUACACCGGAAACGGSCAGAGAUGGUCGCCCCCUUGUGGUCGGUGUACAGKUGGUGCAUGGCCUGUCGUCAGCUCGUGUCGUGAGAUGUUGGGUUAAGUCCCGCAACGAGCGCAACCCUUGUCCCGUGUUGCCAGCAAGCUCCUUCGGGGGUGUUGGGGACUCACGGGAGACCGCCGGGGUCAACUCGGAGGAAGGUGGGGACGACGUCAAGUCAUCAUGCCCCUUAUGUCUUGGGCUGCACACGUGCUACAAUGGCCGGUACAAUGAGCUGCGAUACCGCAAGGUGGAGCGAAUCUCAAAAAGCCGGUCUCAGUUCGGAUUGGGGUCUGCAACUCGACCCCAUGAAGUCGGAGUCGCUAGUAAUCGCAGAUCAGCAUUGCUGCGGUGAAUACGUUCCCGGGCCUUGUACACACCGCCCGUCACGUCACGAAAGUCGGUAACACCCGAAGCCGGUGGCCCAACCCCUUGUGGGAGGGAGCUGUCAAGGACAU